AAGAAAAAGAAAAAAACAAAAGUGCAGUGACUUCACCUUCACAAACAUACAUAAGAAGAAGAGGAAGAAAAAGGAAGAAGCUGAGCACAAUUAUCAGCAGAGUGAUCGCAACAGAUAGAGAAAGAAGAGCAGAGAGGCGUAAAAAAAGAUGAAAACGAAAUAAACUCGAGC